rnacentral:lncRNA from 1 species
CGAGUCCCAGGGCGCCCCAUCCCGCCCCUCCGGCGGGCACCUCGACCUGCCGUUCCCUCCGCCUGCAAAGCCCUUCCGGGCCCGCAGUCCCCGGCCCCGACGUCACCUCCAGCUGCGCUCCCAGUUCGCGACGUUAACGUUCCUCCCAACCCCAUCUCUGGUUGGCCCCCUCGACCAGACCUGCCCUCAGACCUGCUGUCCUGGCUGCAUUCUCAAGCCAAGGAAGUUGUGGCCCAGUGAAUUCGCAUCUCAGCGUCCACGAGAAUCCCGUUACCUACAUUAUCAGAUUCCGGUACAAGAAUCGAAUCAGUCUUCCCAUCAGCCUCCAGCCCGGACCCUCGGACGGCGCAGCGGAUUCUGUCCUCUUCCUCCCGAGCAUCUGCACUAUUUGCUACAUGUGCUAGCUAUCUCCAGACUGCCAAUUCACCCACAGAAAUUAGCCUCUAAUGCUGCCACUGUUGCCCAAGAGGGAGGAGAAAGGAGCAGUGAAGGACAUCGGCAACGCCCAAACUCAGACACUGAGUUAGUUAUCCGAAAGAAGGGGCGAGCAGCCCGGAGAGUGCAACCUUACACAGCCGGAUUCUCACCUGAUGGCCCUCAGCUGGUGGACUUCCCCGAAGACCCUUCCUCAGGGUCCCACCUGACAGCUGUCCUGCUCAGCAGUGAUGGAGCCCCCUCCCUCUCUUGGCAGCUUCUGCUGAGCCUCUCAUUCAGGAGCCGGUUGACAUUGAUGAGAUCUUUGGAUCUCUCCUUAUGGGAUGCAGCAUCUUACAUUCUGUUCCAACUUGAGAAAAGGUUCACGAGCCAACUUAGAAAAGGAGCUGUUGUCAUUCUUAGUCUUGGGUGUUUUAGCUAAGCUCAAAACCCUCAGGUGUAAGUUAUUGGUAGGAACUGUCAUAAUAAGCAAACAUGUGUGCUAUAGUUCAGAUUGUAGAUGUUCUCCUUAGGACCUUGUGUUAGCAACUUGGUCCCUAUUUGGUGUGAUUGGUGGAAACUUUAAAAGGCAGGUCCUAGUGAGGGUCUUAGGUCAGUGGAGGUUUACUCUGGGAAGGGACAGAGGGAC